GACGAACGCUGGCGGCGUGCUUAACACAUGCAAGUCGAACGGAAAGGCCCUGCUUUUGUGGGGUGCUCGAGUGGCGAACGGGUGAGUAACACGUGAGUAACCUGCCCUUGACUUUGGGAUAACUUCAGGAAACUGGGGCUCAUACCGGAUAGGAGCUCCUGCUGCAUGGUGUGGGUUGGAAAGUUUCGGCGGUUGGGGAUGGACUCGCGGCUUAUCAGCUUGUUGGUGGGGUAGUGGCUUACCAAGGCUUUGACGGGUAGCCGGCCUGAGAGGGUGACCGGCCACAUUGGGACUGAGAGACGGCCCAGACUCCUACGGGAGGCAGCAGUGGGGAAUAUUGCACAAUGGGCGGAAGCCUGAUGCAGCAACGCCGCGUGCGGGAUGACGGCCUUCGGGUUGUAAACCGCUUUCGCCUGUGACGAAGCGUGAGUGACGGUAAUGGGUAAAGAAGCACCGGCUAACUACGUG
rnacentral:rRNA from 1 species